rnacentral:rRNA from 1 species
UGACCGCUGGCGGCGUGCCUAAUACAUGCAAGUCGAGCGAACGGACGAGAAGCUUGCUUCUCUGAUGUUAGCGGCGGACGGGUGAGUAACACGUGGAUAACCUACCUAUAAGACUGGGAUAACUUCGGGAAACCGGAGCUAAUACCGGAUAAUAUUUUGAACCGCAUGGUUCAAAAGUGAAAGACGGUCUUGCUGUCACUUAUAGAUGGAUCCGCGCUGCAUUAGCUAGUUGGUAAGGUAACGGCUUACCAAGGCAACGAUGCAUAGCCGACCUGAGAGGGUGAUCGGCCACGCUGGAACUGAGACACGGUCCAGACUCCUACGGGAGGCAGCAGUAGGGAAUCUUCCGCAAUGGGUGAAAGCCUGACGGAGCAACGCCGCGUGAGUGAUGAAGGUCUUCGGAUCGUAAAACUCCGUUAUUAGGGAAGAACAUAUGUGUAAGUAACUGUGCACAUCUUGACGGUACCUAAUCAGAAAGCCACGGCUAACUACGUG